CGUGAGGUGUCAGGUUAAGUCCUAUAACGAGCGCAACCCCUGUCGUUAGUUGCCAGCAUGUAAAGAUGGGGACUCUAACGAGACUGCCUACGCAAGUAGUGAGGAAGGUGGGGAUGACGUCAAAUCAUCACGGCCCUUACGUCCUGGGCCACACACGUGGUACAAAGGUAUGGACAAUGAGCAGCCAUCUGGCAACAGAGAGCGAAUCUAUAAACCAUAUCACAGUUCGGAUCGGAGUCUGCAACUCGACUCCUUGAAGCUGGACUCGGUUGUAAUUGGAUAUCAGCCAUAAUCCGGGGAACCAGGUAGCGGGUAAAUGUGAGUU
rnacentral:rRNA from 1 species